GGAGGUGCUGGGCGGAGACGAUCGCAGACCCGGUCAGGUCCGGAAGGAAGCAGCCGCGGCGGUAGGAUUUGGGUCAGCACCGACCGC
rnacentral:SRP_RNA from 1 species